UGAGAAACUGUGAUGACCAAUAAAAUUUCAGCAUUAAUUAAAUAAUCUAAAUAUAGUUCAAAAUGCUCCAAAUAACCCUAGAUAUUUCAUCUUGUGAAUGAACAACAAUUCCAAGUAGAUGAAUAGUUAGAUCCGAUAACUCAAGAAUGUGUAUACAUUACCUUUGUUGAAGAUCGUGUCUGCAAAAGAGGAAAUAUGAAAAUUUUUCCUUUUUGUUGGAUGUCUGAAACCCCCAAUUUUUUUUUUUGAAAGCGUUUCUGAUAUUUCUACCCUGUUCAACGAAGUCAACAAUUCAUCUUAUACAUGACAAGGUGAAUUGUGAGACACGUUUCUCAUCACUGGUAGACAAUAGUUAGCACAUGUUAAGCAUUAAUUACAAAAUCAUUUAGAAGUAACAACUAAUAACAAGUUAUCCAGGAUUCUUUUUUAUCUACUGUAAAAAAUAUCAACUAACGUUAAAAAUCUACUUCUAAUCUUAUCAAUAAAAAUUAAUACUCUGUUCAUUAUUGUUUGUGUGUGAACCGGUGCAGAUAUGGAAAAUUAACAAAUAUUAAUGCAUGAUCACUAAGAGUAAAAGUCAAUAAUCCAAGAAAGCACACAACAUUACCAUCACUACCAGAAGACAGAUAAUCAAAGCAUCUAAUGAAGUAGAAAACCAAUAUUAAGUCGUUAAGUGAAGAUAUUUUACCAUGCACAAGAUAGGGCUUUGUAUAUCUCGCACCUGGACCAACAAGUGCAACCAUCCCACUUGACCAAGUACAAGCACUGUUUUUGACAAAAGGAGAGAUAAUAAUUAACUGCAUAAGACUUGGACUUAGGAAAAGUAAUAUCAUCAGGAAAUUACAAAAAAGAAGAAGUGUGAAUCUACCCUAUAUACAAGGAUGGUACUAAAUUAGAUUUUUGCUGAAAUUGAUCUUGGUUACCAUAUAUCAAACAUCUAAAAAGGAAACAAAGAUGAAUAAUUAAAAGAAGAAAAAAAUCCUUUAAUCAAAUACCCACAAUACGUUGUUUUGAGCAGUUGCAACAUCCAACUAGUUGUUGCAGCCAUUGCCAAGUUAUCCCCUUAAUUACUAAAUCUACCUCUUUUUUUAAUUAAGCCUCCCUUCUUGUGAUCAAUUACAAGUGUGACAAUAUAAUGGGAAACACUUCUCCACAUUAAAAUGACCAAUCAAAUCUCUCAACAGAUGUGUUGAGCUAAUUUUCUGCCUCGCCAAACUUUCACUCAAUAAUUUACUUGCUCUUGGUCUAAAAAUUGGUACUUUUAAGAUACAAUAUACAUGUAACAAAAUUACCAUGUCUACUUUUUCCUAAGGAAGUAAAAACAGCUUUUGAUCAUUGCUUAUAAACUUUUGCAGGAGUAUUUUGGGAGCAGGGGUUUUCCCAAUGCAAGGUAGUGGUUAUGGGUGGCUCCACUAAAGAAAAUAAAAAAAACACCUGACUAAUUAUAGUCGGAGAGUGAUUUUUAUGAAUUACUUGAUUAUUAAUUUUUAGACCAACUGUAGUACAACAUGGGAAUGCAACAAUGUCCAAUUUUUCACAAAACAAAAGAACCAAGGAUCAAAAACAAUAACACUGUCAUAUAAUGGACCUCAGCCCCGUAUCAUAUCUCACUUUAACCUAAAUUUACAUUCGUUCAGUCAAUAGUAGUUAGUAAUCAAGGCCCACACAUGAAUGUGGACAUAUAACCAGGUGUAUAUCAAGUAUUUUAGCCGAUGUCACAGAAGGUAAAAGGAACUUAUUUUUAUCUAACAGAAGUUACAAAUAAAUUAAGACUACAAUUAGCCCUUUUUUUGUUUUUUUGACAGGGAAAUCAAGACUACCAUUUUGCCUACUAAUGGAAAAUCAAAUAACCAUUCUUUGUCAAAAACCAAAAAAUGAAGAAGACCAAAAAAAAGAUAUUAAAAACUGUCGCGCAAACGCUAAAAGAGAAUGAAUUGAUCUUGAAAGACCCUCACAUUCCUUAAUGUACAAAUAUCUCAAAUUUAUUGGGAAACUAAAUAUUGCAUCUCCAGAAUAUCUUCGUAUCUUGUCCUUAACACCAUAUUCUUUAAAACAGAUCAAAAAUAACUAACAUACACAACAUACUACAAUCACCAAUCAAUUUGAGGAUAUGUGAAUACUACUCAGUUAUAAGUAUCACAAACUUCAAAACGAAAAAAUAGCAAAAAGAAAUUUCAGUUAACAAUGAUCUUACCAAACAAAGCUCCACGCAAAGCAACUCUAACCAUCAAAGCCUGAAAUUUGACUAAGAAACAAAUAUCAGAAUAAGGACAGACUUCAAAUUUACAAAUCAACUAAUGAAGCUACUGAGUCAGCAUAUAACAAAACUACCAUUCCCUCUUUACUUUUCACCUAGCAAAAAAUGAUAUUACAAAUUUCCAAAAAUGAGAAAUUAAAAAUAAUAUAGAUAUAUAUAAAAACAAAAAAGUCAAAUAUUGUAACCUUAAAAAAUCAAAUAAAAGAAAAUUGAAACCACUGUAAACUUUACCUAAUUUAACCCAAUAAACCCGUUAGGGUGGUUUAAUUAAUUAAAGUAUGAGAAACCAAAAAGUUUUCCUAUUUUUUUCCUACCCUCCCUACUGAGAUAAGAAGCAACAACUAGAUCGAUAGCGCAUAAUAGUCUGUUAUGUUUUUUCCAAUUAACAUUCGGGGACCUUAGUGAAUCAAAUACUAAAGGAAAAUCGAAACCACAUUAACCCCACCCAUAAACACAAUGGUACUGGUAAUUUGGAAGGGUUUUGCAAGAAUGUCGCUUAAAGGAAAUGUACAUACAGAUAUGACCCACUAAACCCUAACCAAAUUUAUUGAAAAAAUCAUAGAAAAAUUGUAGCUUCAAACUGAAAAUAAAUUUGUGAGCUGAUAUUGGAUCCAGUAGAAAGAACAACACUUAAAAUACAGGUGAAAUAGUCGAGAAAACGAUUACAUAGAUUUAAUUAGAUGUAAAUAAAGCUUGACAUGCAUGGAAAUUGGAACGUACUAUCAUUUUGAGAGCAAUUUCCAAGUGUUUUGAGGGGAGGAAUCGAUUGUAGGGCACAGAACUGAGAGCUUGCUUAGUUUAGUGUUGGACAAAAAUGUACAUAGUAGGAAUUAUGAUUUUUG
rnacentral:lncRNA from 1 species